GCCAAGCGCUGCACGCAAUGCUGUAGUCCCAGCAACUCGGGAGGCUGAGGUGGGGGGAUCACUUGAACCCAGGAGUUCUGGGUUGUAGUGCACUAUGCCAAUCUGUUGUCCACACUAAGUUAGGCAUCAAUAUGGUGACCUCCCAGGAGCAGGGGACCACCAGGUUGCCUAAAGAGAGGUGAACAGGCCUAGGCUGAAAAUGCCUGUAAAUAGCCACUGCACUCCAGCCUGGGCAGCAUAUCUAAAACAAAAUUAAU
ensembl:misc_RNA Metazoa_SRP Metazoan signal recognition particle RNA